UACGUAGGGUGCAAGCGUUGUCCGGAAUUAUUGGGCGUAAAGAGCUCGUAGGUGGUUCGGUAAGUCGGAUGUGAAAUCUCCAGGCUCAACCUGGAGGGGUCAUUCGAUACUGCCGUGACUAGAGUUCGGUAGGGGAGUGUGGAAUUCCUGGUGGAGCGGUGAAAUGCGCAGAUAUCAGGAGGAACACCCGUAGCGAAGGCGGCACUCUGGGCCGAUACUGACACUGAGGAGCGAAAGCGUGGGGAGCGAACAGG
rnacentral:rRNA from 1 species